GUGGUUGCAGCUGCACAUGUACUAGCAUUGGAAUGAUACAGAGGAAGGUUAACAUGGCCUGUGUUUAAGGACGGCAGGCAAAUUUGUGCAGUGUUCCAUACAGAA
rnacentral:snRNA from 1 species